AUACGGAGGGUGCAAGCGUUAAUCGGAAUUACUGGGCGUAAAGCGUACGUAGGCGGCAAGUUAAGUUAGAUGUGAAAGCCCCGGGCUCAACCUGGGAACUGCAUUUAAAACUGGCUUGCUAGAGUUGAGUAGAGGGGAGUGGAAUUUCAGGUGUAGCGGUGAAAUGCGUAGAGAUCUGAAGGAACACCAGUGGCGAGGGCGACUCCCUGGACUCGAACUGACGCUGAGGUACGAAAGCGUGGGUAGCAAACGGGAUUAGAAACCCUAGUAGUCC
rnacentral:rRNA from 1 species